rnacentral:lncRNA from 1 species
ACCCGCGAAAAGCUAAACAAAUUUUGCUUUUGGAGCUAUUUGGUGUUCAAACAAGAAUCCCCAUGACAAAAUCGCAGUUGCUUUUUUAGUUUGAAGGAUUGUAAGAAAUAUUAAAUGCACUUAUCAAAAAAAAAAGAAAUAUUAAAUGCAAAACUCUGAUAUAUUUUCCAUCAAACCCUAAGACGCAGAACUUUUCAAACUUAUCUUUUUAGCAUUGGAAAUCUAAAAGUAUUUUAUUUUAUGUAAAUAAUAAAACAUGCAAAUCAUAGGGUACUCAUUAUCUAAUUAUCACACCCACCCUCUUNNNNNNNNNNNCCCUCUGUUUGGUUUCACCUUUUUAACCACUAAUCAAAAGAUGCGUUGUCUAUCAUAAAUCUUCUUACCCUUUUUUUUUUCUCUUAGUAGUUUAUGUGAAUAUAGUAUUACUUUUUCAUAAUAUUUUUGAAAUACCAGUGUUAGUAUUAGAUUAUUUUUUCUUUGUAACUUACCAAUGAAAUAUUCUCUCUGUUUUAAAAUAAAUGUCAUUUUAGGUUUAAUUUUUUUUAUUUCAUAUAUAUAUUAUGACGUUGAUUGGUAAUCUUUGCGGAAAGUUUUUAUCAAUCAGAAAAAUACAUGGAAUGUAAUGGAAAAUGUCAUUUUGUAUAUUUUGAGUUUUUGCUUAAAUAUUUUCAAGUAAAUUUUCAUUUAGUGAGUAAGUGUAUUUUUCUCAUUUAUCUGCUGAAAUGGUUGAACUUCCUACCUCUGUUACGUAAAAGCAUUUGUGUACAACCACCGAUAGUUACCUUUGUAUAAGAAAUUAAUUUAACUACCGUCUUUUAUCAGAUAUGAAAAAUUAAUUAACUCACCAUCACUUAACAAAUAGUUAUUGUUGCUUCAAAAAUUAAUGACAUUGUAAGUUUGAUUUGGGCUUCAAAACAUCAAUAGUUUUCUUUAUCCAAAUUUAGAAGAAAAAAAAUGGUAUAUAAUAAAAAAAAAAGUUUAAAAUAUUUUUCUUUAUGCAAUUUCGCAAAACACUAUCCAGUCACACUUAACUUUUGUUCCACAACUUUUAUUCAGCAAAUUUUAAAUUCCACAAAUUUUAUUUCGCAACUCACUUUAUUUUCCGCCAUUCCACGAUUACUCAAG